rnacentral:lncRNA from 1 species
UGUUAACAAUAAGCCAAGCUUUAAAAUAUUCAUUUCAUAUAAGAGGACUCUUUUAACACCAGGAGGAACCAUAUAUUUGAACGAAAGCAAUUCCUCUAAAUUUUGUUUUGAUUGCUCCUCCACGAUGAGCCGAUAACAAAAGCUUCAAGAGAUAAUUAUGAUUCUCCAAGUCCAACACACCAAAUCUUCUCCCUUGAGAUCAGACCUUAUCUUCUCCCUUUGAUCACCAGCAUUUUUAUUACCUCGAGAUCAGAACCACAUCUUCACUUCCUAAAAACCAGUCCAUAUAUCUUCCCCCCUUAGAUCUUCAAUUUCUAAAUAGUCAUAAGCUGAGAACUCACAAGGAUAUGAUGAUGAUCAAGAUGAAAUAAUAACAAUGGUCAUAACAUUGCUGGGUGAAGAAUCUGUGGAUGAUAGGGAGGGACGUGGGAUUUCAUGGCCUAUUGGAUGUACUCGGUGUAGUUAUGAGGACAGGACGGAGUAGUAUCGGUGAUUCAGGAACGAGGCCUUCUCGCUGCAUCAAUCUCUCUGUUUUUUUAUAGGAUUUGUGUUCUUUUUAAGACCAACCAAGUAAUAUCAGUAUAUAUAUAUACAGGCUCUCUCCUACAUAUAUAAACCCUAUCUCCAACACGUCUUAGUGUUUGGUUUAAUUUUAUUAUUUGAUACUUUUUAUGUAUACAGUCUUGUAGUCUAAGCCUAUCUAUAAAAUAUUUCAAUCAAAAGCGUG